GACCUGGUGGCGGAGCGGUCCGCACUCAACCAUAAUGAGUCGGUUCUGCCUCCAUUUGGGAGUCCCUUGUUCGACUCAAGGCCAGGUCA